GAUGAACGCUGGCGGCGUGCUUAACACAUGCAAGUCGAACGGUGAACGAGGGAGCUUGCUCCCUCCGGAUCAGUGGCGAACGGGUGAGUAACACGUGAGUAACCUGCCCUUGACUCUGGG
rnacentral:rRNA from 1 species